UUCCCUUUGGCUCAGUGUCUCUCCUUCAAUCUUGAAAGAGUGUGUAGACUUCCUGAAUCAACCUGAGCCCCUGAAUACACUUAUUCAACAUCACAAACAUCAUGGCCACAAAGUUAAACAUGUUUUAUCUUCCUCUGGUUAUGAUUGCAUUCUUUCCAGCCUGUCCUUUCACCUACCAUAUGUGGAUGAUGACAAAGGAGACACACUUGGUGAGUUGAAAAAGAAGAAAGAAGAAAAUUCCAAGGUGAUCAAUUCAGAAUUGUUGCGGAAUAACGAUAUAAACGGACAGAAGCAUGUUAUUGAUCUGACUGAAGACCAAGGAUCUUCUGUUGAAGUAAUACUUCAACCUUUUGAUGAGAGUGAGUCUAAUGACAUGGACAAAGAAUGGUUCCACCAUUUGAAAACUGGCAGUACGACAUCCUCAACAACCUUCAAGUGUCUGCGGCACAGAGUUUGGUUCCCCAAGAAAACUAAAGGAACACAAGAUUACCCCUAAUGGUUGCUGUACAAACGCAACGAGUCAUUCGAAUUCUGUGGCCCAAAGUAGCUUUUUUGAGAAAAUAAAUGUACAUGUUAAACCAAAGUUUUUUGAGAAUAAUGCUUCUAGAAGUGAGAACAGGCUUUCAUCAUGUGCCACAACAAAUAACCCAUCAAAUAUAUACAGACUUCCACAUUUUGAGCCGUCUAAUGAUGACUCUUGUCUUGUUUGUCAUGUUUGUGGCAGGGCUUUCACUUACCCAAAGAAUUUUGACAAACACCAGAGGACUUGUGUGGUUAGUAGUAAACGACAAGCUGAGACAGACCCACAGUGUUCCACUAGCUUAGCUCAUCACUCCAAACCAAACCCUGUUGAUAACGCAAAAGAAUCCUUCUCCAAGGAAACUAGGCUUUCAAAUGUUCUACCCUGGGAAUUAAUAUCUCUUGACUCACCACAAGAGCAGAUGUGUAAAAGAAGCAGUUGUGUCAAACAAUGCUCCGCAUGCGGGAAUGUAUUUACUUGUUCUGUUGAUUUGAUGAGGCACACGAGACGCCACACUGAACACAGUCCUUUCCUUUGUUCUUAUUGUGGGAAACACUUUGACAACUACAGAGACUGCGAGACACACCAGGAAGGUAAAUGCAGAGCUUCACACCAGCUUUCACGAGAAAAGUAUUCGUGAAACGCAAAUAAAAGGGAUCAGGAGAAUACCGUUGUUUCAAGGUGUAUAACUCAGGUCCCAACAAUCCGAGACGCAUCUGCUAAUUCACAGACUAAAUCACCUCUGACAUGUUGAGCAUGUGGCCAGGCUUUCACUUACUACAAGAGUUUUGAGAAGCACCAGAGCAGAUGUUCCAAAAGAGCUCCUCGAAGGAAAAAGCCAACAAAUGCAAACCAUUUCGUUAUCGAUGCUUGUAAUUUCCGAUCAGCUGACAAUUCUGUUGGGAGACAUGAUGAGGCAAUUUCUGAAACAAAGGAAAAUGAAACGGCAAAAACUCUGACCUCAGCAGAACAUGCACCUGACUCCCAGACUGAAUCUCGCCCUAUCAAGUGCACCAUGUGUAAGAAGAACUUCUCAGAAAUGGUCCUCAUGAAAAGACAUUAUUCCAAAUACCAUAAAGUUAAAGGCUCAUACCCCUGUCCUUUGUGUAAGAGAUCUUUUGUGAGUUGGUUCGACAUCAGCAAAACAAAAGAUUGGACCAGUGUGCCGCCUGCAAGAAAUGUUAUACAAAGCCAAGACUAUUAAAUGAUCAUGAAAAAGUCCAUAGCGCAAGUGUGGCACCACGCAUCUGUGAAAUGUGUGGGUAAAGCUUUAAAUCUCUCGCUCAUCUGAUUCUACACCAGAGCAAGCAUGGAGAACGGCAACCUAGUGUUUGUUCCUACUCUGGGAAGCAGUUCAGUACAAAAGACUGCCUGAGAGCUCAUGCGGUGAGGCACACAGGUGGUUACCCGUGCCCUGUCUGUGGGAAGAAAUUCUACCAAAAAAACCUACCUGAAAUGGCAUCUGUAUAAACACACGGGGCAAGAGCCGUACCUUUGUGACACAUGUGGGAAAGGCUGGCAAAGUGCAGCGCAGCUCAAGCUUUACAUGAUUGAACAUACGGAGGAAAGGCCGUCCAAGUGCGAGGACUGCGAUGCGUGUUACAAGAGGGGAUCCCAUUUGAUGGCUCACCGCAGAGCCAAACAUAUCAGGUUGGGGCCAUUCGUGUGCGAGGUUUGCAGCAAAGCCUUUAGAUUAAACGGCGAGCUAAAAAAACACAUGAUGGUUCACACAGGGUUCAACGGCCAUUAACGUGUCCAAGGUGUGACAAAAGAUCCACGAGGAAUUCGCGCCUUAGGGAACAAAGAGAAACAGCAUGUCUUUAACUUCAUACUACAUACAGUACAUGUACUAUAAGUUCUAUCAACUAUGUCUCAAUGCUGUAUAUCUAUGAGGGCUUUAAUAACAAAGCUACAGAUGUGUGUAUAAACUACAAACAUUUUUCUGAUUUUGUAAUUGGUUUUCAUUCACUGAGAAUAA